UACGUAGGGUGCGAGCGUUAAUCGGAAUUACUGGGCGUAAAGCGUGCGCAGGCGGUUCUAUAAGACAGAUGUGAAAUCCCCGGGCUCAACCUGGGAAUGGCAAUGGAGACUGCAAGGCUAGAGUUUGGCAGAGGGGGGUAGAAUUCCACGUGUAGCAGUGAAAAUGCGUAGAUAUGUGGAGGAACACCGAUGGCGAAGGCAGCCCCCUGGGGUCAAAAACUGACGCUCAUGCACGAAAAGCGUGGGGGGAGCAAAAC
rnacentral:rRNA from 1 species